ACUUGGUAUAAAACCACAGAAAGCUGGCUUCUCAGGAGGCCUCUUCUUGAGUCUGGCUAGGAGAGCACAGGGCUCCCUUUUCUGCCUGGGAACUUGUCCCAGAGGACAAGCAAGGUAGGAAAUGUUUAGGAGACUCUGGUCUUCCGAGUGCUGCUUCCCUGACAGACUCUUACCCUGGGGAGCCUGUUGGGUGGCGGUGGGUAGGGCUCGGAAACUCCGAGGACUGGUGGCUGGCUCUGACUCGUCUGUGGAGAGCCCACUGUCAGCCUCAGCCUCCAGGGAGCCAAUGGUUUUCUCCAGGAAGAGCAGACACUCCUUUUCUUCAGCAGACAGGAAGUCGUAGCUGCUGUCACUCUGUUGGGAGAAGCAGCUAUGAGAUGACCCAAUGGAGCGUGACUACUCUUACUGAUGUCUUCCAGUCAGAAACAGGAUGACGUCUCUGUGUCCCCAAUCU
ensembl:antisense Gm28857 predicted gene 28857